ACGUGCGCAUAGCUGUCCCAGAUGAGUGAUCGCCACCAGGUGAUCCAGGGCUCUCUAAACAACCAGCAGGUGCACAGUCCAACUGACAGCAGCUGGGAGCCUCUAUCCUGCCUGUGAUGUUUUCCCUGACCACCUCUCUCAGCCCCUUCCCCCCACAUGGCCUCCAUCCACCUGGCUCUUUGUUCCUUCCUAGCAUGCAUCACCACUUAAAAGUAAAUGAUUUCUUCCGUUUAUUGUUUAUGCUUCCCCUCUCUAGCAUGUAAGCUAAGAGAUGGCUGGAGACUCUGUCUUGGGAACUGAUGGAUUCUGAACUCCUAGCACAGUGCCUGGCACGUAAGCAGAUGCUAACGAAAUCUUUGUGGGGUGAGAGGAAAAACUAAAGCAUCAGUAUUUUGUGCAUUGUGCCUGCCUAAGAUUCAUUAAAGUAUUAAAGAUAACGAAUGAAGAGCCAUCCCCCUCUCCUGAGUGUCUACGCUCCAGAUGGGGAGAAAGGCAGGGGCAAUCAUUGACAAUGACAAAUGGAGUCGGAGGUCCCUGUCAUGGAAGCAUUCAGGCAGAGGCUAGAUGACCAUGUUAGAGAAGCGAUUCCUGCAUCAGAGAAACAUGGGUCAGGACUUCACAGCUAAGGGUGAGUUUUGCUGCCGUGAGUGAGCACCCACAGCUCCACACGGCGCUGGUCUUCGUCAGCACAGGCUAGGACCCCAGGAGCAGGAGGAGAGCCCGUGCCGGCAAGAGGAGAUCACAAGUAGGCAGAGAGAGAGAGAGGAGGAA